UACAGAGGUCCCGAGCGUUGUUCGGAUUCACUGGGCGUAAAGGGUGCGCAGGUGGCUUGGCAAGUUUGAUGUGAAAGCUCAGGGCUUAACCCUGAAAUGGCAUUGAAUACUGUUGAGCUGGAGGUUUGGAGGGGGGACUGGAAUUCUUGGUGUAGCAGUGAAAUGCGUAGAUAUCAAGGGGAACACCAGUGGCGAAGGCGAGUCCCUGGACAACACCUGACACUGAGGCACGAAAGCUAGGGGAGCAAACAGG
rnacentral:rRNA from 1 species